rnacentral:rRNA from 1 species
GGGGGGGGCUUACCAUGCGGAGUCGGGCGGUUGAAGUGAGCUUGCUCUUUGAUUCAGCGGCGGACGGGUGAGUAACGACAAAGAAUCUGCCUGAGGUGGGGGAAACGUUUCGAAUGGAACGCUAAUACCGCAUACGUCCUACGGGAGAAAGCAGGGGACCUUCGGGCCUUGCGCUAUCAGAUGAGCCUAGGUCGGAUUAGCUAGUUGGUGAGGUAAUGGCUCACCAAGGCGACGAUCCGUAACUGGUCUGAGAGGAUGAUCAGUCACACUGGAACUGAGACACGGUCCAGACUCCUACGGGAGGCAGCAGUGGGGAAUAUUGGACAAUGGGCGAAAGCCUGAUCCAGCCAUGCCAGAAAUGAGGAAGAAGGUCUUCGGAUUGUAAAGCACUUUAAGUUGGGAGGAAGGGCAUUAACCUAAUACGUUAGUGUUUUGACGUUACCGACAGAAUAAGCACCGGCUAACUUCGUGCCAGCAGCCGCGGUAAUA